GCACGAAGCUGGAAUCGCUAGUAAUCGCGGAUCAGCACGCCGCGGUGAAUACGUUCCCGGGCCUUGUACACACCGCCCGUCACACCAUGAGAGCCGAUAACACCCGAAGCCUGUGAGCUAACCGUAAGGGGGCAGCAGUCGAAGGUGGGGUUGGUGAUUGGGGUGAAGUCGUAACAAGGUAAC
rnacentral:rRNA from 1 species